rnacentral:rRNA from 1 species
AUGAAAGAUCCGUUUUCUGGCCUUCCUAGUGAAGAUGCCGCUACCCAUCUAAAUAGCUUCGUUGAUUUGUGUGAUAUGAAAAAGAAGAAAGAUGUGGAUAAUGAUAUUGUUAAAUUGAAUCUAUUCCCUUUUUCUCUUAGAGAUCGUGUUAAAGCUUGGUUUUCGUCUUUGCCUAAAAAUAGUAUUGAUUCAUGGAAUAAGUGCAAAGAUGCUUUUAUCUCUAAGUAUUUUCCUCCCGCUAAGAUCAUCUCUCUUAGAAACGAUAUUAUGAAUUUUAAGCAACUUGAUCAUGAACAUGUUGCACAAGCUUGGGAGAGAAUGAAACUAACGAUAUGUAAUUGCCCUACUCAUGGUUUCAAUUUGUGGAUGAUUAUACAAAAUUUUUAUGCCGGAUUGAAUUUUGCUUCUAGGAAUCUUUUAGAUUCGGCCGCGGGAAGCACUUUUAUGGAAAUCACUUUAGGAGAAGCUACUAAACUCCUAGAUAAUAUUAUGGUUAAUUAUUCUCAAUGGCAUACCAAAAGAUCUACUAAUAAAAAGGUGCAUGCGAUAAAAGAAAUUAAUGUUUUGAGUGGAAAGAUGGAUGAACUUAUGUAA